GAUGAACGCUAGCGACAGGCCUAACACAUGCAAGUCGAGGGGCAGCACAAGGUAGCAAUACUGAGGUGGCGACCGGCGCACGGGUGAGUAACGCGUAUGCAACCUGCCUGUAACAGGGGAAUAGCCUCUUGAAAGAGAGAUUAAUGCCGCAUAAUACGAGAUUCGGGCAUCCGGAUUUAGUUAAACAUUUAUGGGUUACAGAUGGGCAUGCGGUUCAUUAGGUAGUUGGUGAGGUAACGGCUACCCAAGCCGACGAUGAAUAGGGGGUCUGGGAGGAAGGGCCCCCACACUGGGACGGAGACACGGACCAGACUCCUACGGGAGGCAGCAGUGGGGAAUAUUGGGCAAUGGACGCAAGUCUGAACCAGCCAAGUCGCGUGAAGGAUGAAGGUAUUAUGUAUUUUAAACUUCUUUUGACAGGGAAUAAUGGGUGUCACGUGUGACGCAGAGGAAUGUACCUGACGAAUAAGCAUCGGCUAACUCCGUGCCAGCAGCCGCCGUAAGAC
rnacentral:rRNA from 1 species